GCCGGGGGGGCGUGCUAAUACAUGCAAGUCGAGCGGACAGAUGGGAGCUUGCUCCCUGAUGUUAGCGGCGGACGGGUGAGUAACACGUGGGUAACCUGCCUGUAAGACUGGGAUAACUCCGGGAAACCGGGGCUAAUACCGGAUGGUUGUUUGAACCGCAUGGUUCAGACAUAAAAGGUGGCUUCGGCUACCACUUACAGAUGGACCCGCGGCGCAUUAGCUAGUUGGUGAGGUAACGGCUCACCAAGGCGACGAUGCGUAGCCGACCUGAGAGGGUGAUCGGCCACACUGGGACUGAGACACGGCCCAGACUCCUACGGGAGGCAGCAGUAGGGAAUCUUCCGCAAUGGACGAAAGUCUGACGGAGCAACGCCGCGUGAGUGAUGAAGGUUUUCGGAUCGUAAAGCUCUGUUGUUAGGGAAGAACAAGUGCCGUUCAAAUAGGGCGGCACCUUGACGGUACCUAACCAGAAAGCCACGGCUAACUACGUGCCAGCAGCCGCGGUAAUACGUAGGUGGCAAGCGUUGUCCGGAAUUAUUGGGCGUAAAGGGCUCGCAGGCGGUUUCUUAAGUCUGAUGUGAAAGCCCCCGGCUCAACCGGGGAGGGUCAUUGGAAACUGGGGAACUUGAGUGCAGAAGAGGAGAGUGGAAUUCCACGUGUAGCGGUGAAAUGCGUAGAGAUGUGGAGGAACACCAGUGGCGAAGGCGACUCUCUGGUCUGUAACUGACGCUGAGGAGCGAAAGCGUGGGGAGCGAACAGGAUUAGAUACCCUGGUAGUCCACGCCGUAAACGAUGAGUGCUAAGUGUUUAGGGGGUUUCCGCCCCUUAGUGCUGCAGCUAACGCAUUAAGCACUCCGCCUGGGGAGUACGGUCGCAAGACUGAAACUCAAAGGAAUUGACGGGGGCCCGCACAAGCGGUGGAGCAUGUGGUUUAAUUCGAAGCAACGCGAAGAACCUUACCAGGUCUUGACAUCCUCUGACAAUCCUAGAAGAUAGGACG
rnacentral:rRNA from 1 species